rnacentral:rRNA from 1 species
UCAGAACGAACGCUGGCGGCAGGCCUAACACAUGCAAGUCGAACGGUAACAGGAAGCAGCUUGCUGCUUCGCUGACGAGUGGCGGACGGGUGAGUAAUGUCUGGGAAACUGCCUGAUGGAGGGGGAUAACUACUGGAAACGGUAGCUAAUACCGCAUAAUGUCGCAAGACCAAAGAGGGGGACCUUCGGGCCUCUUGCCAUCGGAUGUGCCCAGAUGGGAUUAGCUAGUAGGUGGGGUAACGGCUCACCUAGGCGACGAUCCCUAGCUGGUCUGAGAGGAUGACCAGCCACACUGGAACUGAGACACGGUCCAGACUCCUACGGGAGGCAGCAGUGGGGAAUAUUGCACAAUGGGCGCAAGCCUGAUGCAGCCAUGCCGCGUGUAUGAAGAAGGCCUUCGGGUUGUAAAGUACUUUCAGCGGGGAGGAAGGCGAUAAGGUUAAUAACCUUGUCGAUUGACGUUACCCGCAGAAGAAGCACCGGCUAACUCCGUGCCAGCAGCCGCGGUAAUACGGAGGGUGCAAGCGUUAAUCGGAAUUACUGGGCGUAAAGCGCACGCAGGCGGUCUGUCAAGUCGGAUGUGAAAUCCCCGGGCUCAACCUGGGAACUGCAUUCGAAACUGGCAGGCUAGAGUCUUGUAGAGGGGGGUAGAAUUCCAGGUGUAGCGGUGAAAUGCGUAGAGAUCUGGAGGAAUACCGGUGGCGAAGGCGGCCCCCUGGACAAAGACUGACGCUCAGGUGCGAAUUAGAUACCCUGGUAGUCCACGCCGUAAACGAUGUCGACUUGGAGGUUGUGCCCUUGAGGCGUGGCUUCCGGAGCUAACGCGUUAAGUCGACCGCCUGGGGAGUACGGCCGCAAGGUUAAAACUCAAAUGAAUUGACGGGGGCCCGCACAAGCAGUGGAGCAUGUGGUUUAAUUCGAUGCAACGCGAAGAACCUUACCUACUCUUGACAUCCAGAGAACUUUCCAGAGAUGGAUUGGUGCCUUCGGGAACUCUGAGACAGGUGCUGCAUGGCUGUCGUCAGCUCGUGUUGUGAAAUGUUGGGUUAAGUCCCGCAACGAGCGCAACCCUUAUCCUUUGUUGCCAGCGAUUCGGUCGGGAACUCAAAGGAGACUGCCAGUGAUAAACUGGAGGAAGGUGGGGAUGACGUCAAGUCAUCAUGGCCCUUACGAGUAGGGCUACACACGUGCUACAAUGGCGCAUACAAAGAGAAGCGACCUCGCGAGAGCAAGCGGACCUCAUAAAGUGCGUCGUAGUCCGGAUUGGAGUCUGCAACUCGACUCCAUGAAGUCGGAAUCGCUAGUAAUCGUGGAUCAGAAUGCCACGGUGAAUACGUUCCCGGGCCUUGUACACACCGCCCGUCACACCAUGGGAGUGGGUUGCAAAAGAAGUAGGUAGCUUAACCUUCGGGAGGGCGCUUACCACUUUGUGAUUCAUGACUGGGGUGAAGUCGUAACAAGGUAGCCGUAGG